rnacentral:rRNA from 1 species
AUGAUGGUGUUCAUUGCAGCACAUUGUGUAUUCAUCUCUCCUAUUUCCAGGAAAGCAUCUGGCACUGGCAGUGCUUUGAAUCCAACAAUAGCUAACUCUGUGACGCCACUAGCCCAAAAAUGCUACACUUACGGGACUGUUCCCAGUCCCUUAGAUCCACUGCAAGCUUCUCCAACUAGAGAACAGGCCAAAGUUGCGGAGUCUGGGAUAGAUCCUGACACAAGGAGAAGGUUUCUCAUAUUACAACAUGGCCAGACUCCUGCACCACCUCUUCCAGCAGUACCUCAUGGAAAUUGGUUCCUUGUGGAGGAUGGCAUGAACUCAAAUAAUCUGAACAGGGGUUCAGCAGGCAUAAUCAGGCCUCUUGAUCAGAUCCCCUCCAUGGAGAAGUACCAGCAACCAGGAUGGCCAUCACCACCACGAUAUAGACAGACAAACAUUGGAAAAUACUGGCAUUCAGAAAAGGAGGAUGAAUACGACGCUGAUUGUGAGGCACUGAGCAAGAUUUCAACUGCAUUCCACGACCAAAAGGGCAAUCACAGGUUAAAUGCAAACGGCACCACAUCUUAUGGAGAAUAG